CUGUACCUAGACAGACACAGGACAGGUUGUUGACAUAAUGCUCUCUGUACCUAGACAGACACAGGACAGGUUGUUGACAUAAUGCUCUCUGUACCUGGACAGACAGACACAGGACAGGUUGUUGACAUAAUGCUCUCUGUACCUGGACAGACAGACAGACACAGGACAGGUUGUUGACAUAAUGUUCUCUGUACCUGGACAGACAGACAGACACAGGACAGGUUGUUGGUAGAGAGAUGAUUCUGAAAGUAACGCAUGUGUUGUCGAAGUAACUGUAAUAAUAGAACCCAAUUUGAAAAAGUAAUGUGUUACUUUACUCUGUUACUCAUAAAAGUAAUCUGAUUACGUAACGUGUUACUUUUGUAACACUGGUUAGGAAUCUCCCUCCCUCCCAGAUAGAAUACGUAGGUCCUCCACUUCCUCCUCUUGAGGAAGAGCAGACGGACCAGACCGACGGACAGUAUCAACCUGGCCUGUGGAGCAGGGUCUUCACUGUUAAAUGAUGAUCGGUGGUUAGGGAGAAAUGUCUCCUCCCUCUAUGGUGAAUCUCUUUCUGGGUCUUUGGCCUUGUGACAGUAAGACUGUAUCCUUUUGACUGUUAAACACUCUGUCUACAUAUUGAUAAUGUCUGGUUGGCUGGGC
ensembl:lncRNA